rnacentral:rRNA from 1 species
GACGAACGCUGGCGGCGUGCUUAACACAUGCAAGUCGAACGGAAAGGCCCCUUUGGGGGUACUCGAGUGGCGAACGGGUGAGUAACACGUGAGUAACCUGCCCUUGACUUCGGGAUAACUUCAGGAAACUGGGGCUAAUACCGGAUAGGAAUCCUUGCUGCAUGGCGGGGGUUGGAAAGCUUCGGCGGUUUUGGAUGGACUGGCGGCUUAUCAGCUUGUUGGUGGGGUAGUGGCUUACCAAGGCUUUGACGGGUAGCCGGCCUGAGAGGGCGACCGGCCACAUUGGGACUGAGAGACGGCCCAGACUCCUACGGGAGGCAGCAGUGGGGAAUAUUGCACAAUGGGCGGAAGCCUGAUGCAGCAACGCCGCGUGCGGGAUGACGGCCUUCGGGUUGAAAACCGCUUUCAGCAGGGGCGAAGCUUGUGGUGACGGUACCUGCAGAAGAAGCACCGGCUAACUACGUG